GUUCCCAAGAGUGAAUUCUCCUGAUAAGCAGGGUGUUUCCAGUCGUACCAGAAAAGCCAGCAAAGUGACCGGGCAGAGAGCUCACCAGCAAACCACUUCCCAACAUCUGUCAUGACUGGUCAGAGCUUCGAGUACACGAGUAAGGUCGUGCAAAGUGACACACCAACUCUGAGGACUCAGGGUAAGAACAAGGUGCCAUUUAGAGUUCAGCUCCUCAAAGCACCAUCCAUCAAAACCUUGCUCUUCCAAAAACCUCCCUUCAUCUCCCUGCACUCAGGAGGGUCCGCAGCUCCAAUCUGUUCCUCACAUCUCCAUCUCACCGAUAAAGAAACUGAGCCUUAAAGAGAGGAUAGCAUUCGCCCAGGGUUCCGCGGCCUGUAAAUAAAGAAGCCCAGAGAGCACCCAACACCAACACAUCCCUUCCUGUUGUGCCAUUGAAUUAAA